AGAAACAGGCAGCCUGACUAGAGAACAAACUACCAAUUAACGAGCGAGGAAACAGGGCCAGAGAAUUGGAACAAAAUACAAGGCUGCCUCUGAAAGGAAUAUCUUUGUGCUGAUGUGUCCAUCAAGAGAACAUACACAGAAGUGACACUUGCCAGUAAUUUGCAAGCAGAUGGAACUUCAAUAUGGCAAUAGAGAAAGAAUCAAUUAGACCAGAGUCUCCUCAGGAAGACUUUCUAUAGAAAAUAUUUACUGGAUAGCUACUAGACAUAAGGAUGCAGAAAUGAAUUAGAAAAAUUCCUCGCCCUUGUUCAAAGCUAUGCUGGCUCUUAGAACAUCUGAGCCCCCACUGUUUCAUCUUUAGAGGAUCCCAGCUGCUGGGGUGUGAGGCCAGUGCUGGAGCCAGCAGUCUCUGACCCAGAAGGGACCUGAGGUGCUAAAGAAAAGGGUACAAGCUGGAAAAGGGGAAAAUGAAUCAUGCUACAGGCCAAGUGUCCAUCACUGAUUCCCAGAGAUGCCCUUUGUGUGGUAGGCACUUCCAUGUGGACUCGCUACAGAGGUCAUAAGACCCUAAUUCCAGAGGGCCCUACCCUAUAACCAGAAGGAAGAACUAUUGCACAGAGAAUCUAAGAAGAAUCUAGACAGACAGCCCUUGCUGGAUUUCUCCACUCUGUUAGCAUUCGAUCAUUUGCCUUUUGUCCAGUCAUAUUUCUGCAUGGCUGUCCAUACUUUGUUGAACCUAAGCACAAAAUGGAAAGUUUUCCCUGUAUCUUUGGGUCGUCAUUCUGAAGGCUCCCAUGUUAUGUAAAACUAUGAUCAAAUAAAUAUGCAUGCCUUUUCUCCUAUAA
rnacentral:lncRNA from 1 species